rnacentral:lncRNA from 1 species
AUGACUAUAUCAGCAAGGUAUCUAGAUAAUCUAAUUCAGUACAAAGCAAAUAAUAGUAUGUCAUAUAAUCAAACCUUGAGAGAAUCAUUUUUCUCAACUAAGAGAAAAUAGAAUUACAUAUUUGAAGUAUUAUUACCCCUAAUCAAUGCAUAAGAGUCUAGUGAACUACCACCAUACAUAAUAAUACAUGAUACAAAAUUAAACUACACUCUUGGCCUUUGUUCAGUUCCGAUAAUCAGAACACUAUUUACAAGUUACAACAAGUAACAUAUUUUCAAGGUCCACUUUUCCUACAAAUGAGAAAGAAAAAGGUUUGUAGAAAAAGAUGACCCCUAGUACACACAUAACAGCUCUAUAAUCAAACAUACAAACAGUGCUCCAUCCAACAAUGGAUGAAGCAAAGUGGCUCCGGCAACGAAUGCGAAAAGUACCUGAGUAGGGAGGAACUGUUGUUCAAGCCAAAAAAUAUUGGUUGAUCCACUCGGCUAACUUUCCAGUUCGACAACUUCUGUAUAAACUUUUUGUACAAACUACUUGUCAGCUGCAUCUUGUCCUUUCUGCUCUGAUUUUUCAACUCUUUGAUUCACUUGAUGCUUUGAAUUCGGAUCAACAAGAAGCAAGCGCGACAUAACAUACGACAAGAGUUCUUCACGGUGCGAGAACGUGAAGUCUAAAUGUGCAUAUUCAAACUGAUUAUACGAAACAUUUACAUCGGCACUUUUCAUCAAUCUAUAGUGUCUCUUUACCAUUGAAGGUCUUAUAACUUUGUCUUUAUGUCCGGCAACAAGAUCAACAGGAAUGUCGAU